rnacentral:misc_RNA from 1 species
GAUGAAGAACGUAGCGAAAUGCGAUAAGUAGUGUGAAUUGCAGAAUUCAGUGAAUCAUCGAAUCUUUGAACGCACAUUGCGCCCCUUGGUAUUCCAUGGGGCAUGCCUGUUCGAGCGUCAUUUGUACCUUCAAGCUCUGCUUGGUGUUGGGUGUUUGUCUCGCCUCUGCGUGUAGACUCGCCUCAAAACAAUUGGCAGCCGGCGUAUUGAUUUCGGAGCGCAGUACAUCUCGCGCCUUGCACUCAUAACGACGACGUCCAAAAGUACAUUUUUACACUCUUGACCUCGGAUCAGGUAGGGAUACCCGCUGAACUUAAGCAUAUCAAUAAGCGGAGGA